rnacentral:rRNA from 1 species
UACGGAGGGUGCAAGCGUUAUCCGGAUUCACUGGGUUUAAAGGGUGCGUAGGUGGGCAGGUAAGUCAGUGGUGAAAUCUCCGGGCUUAACCCGGAAACUGCCAUUGAUACUAUCUGUCUUGAAUACCGUGGAGGUGAGCGGAAUAUGUCAUGUAGCGGUGAAAUGCUUAGAUAUGACAUAGAACACCAAUUGCGAAGGCAGCUCACUACGCGAAUAUUGACACUGAGGCACGAAAGCGUGGGGAUCAAACAGGAUUAGAAACCCUAUAGUCC